CCACACUGGGCUCUCUGCUCAGCGGGGAGCCUGCUUCUCUCUCUCUCUCUCUCUGCCUGCCUCUCUGCUUAUUUGUGAUCUCUGUCAAAUAAAUAAAAUCUUUAAAAAAAAAAAAAACAAAGCUAAGAAUUAGUAUAUAUAAGAUGAUUACUAGCUCUCAAUAUAUAUUGCAUAAAUUUAUGAAAAAAAAGAUCUGAUCACAUAUUUAUAAAGUAUAAAACAUUUUUUUUAAGAUUUUAUUUACUUGAGAGAGAAAGA